AGCAUCAUAGCUUAAUGGGAGAACACCAGCUUGGCAUGCAGGAAGUCCCAGGUUUGAUCCCUGGCAUUGCCA